GCUCCUCUCCCCUCUUGUCCUCUCCUCUCCGCUCCUUUCCUCCAGAGUUUACCUCCAGGAUUCUGCAAUGUGACCUUGGUACUAAACAAACCUCCUCACUGGCUACCUGCCACCGCGCAGCUCCUAAUGAUGGACGACGCAGGCAGAGGCGAGCGUUUCUGAGUUUUCUGCAUUUCGCCCUGGAGAUGAUCCAUCCGUCCCACUGACCUCAGUGGAAAGUUCCAGCUCCUGCUUCUUGCGCCUCCGCAGACACUUCACCACGACCAUGGCCAGGAUCAGCAGGGCCAGCAGCCCCCCCACCGAGGC